rnacentral:lncRNA from 1 species
CCGAAGCGUGUUGUUCUCCAGAACCUGUUCAGGACUAGGAGAGCAGUGCAGGGCCCCCAGGGUGAGCUGCUCCCGGAGACGCUGGACACAGGCUGAGCCGGCGUCCAGGAGGUAGGCAGAGGCCGUCCUCUCCCGAGCCAGGGAACGAGCUGUGAGAAGGGGCUGCUGCAGUCCCUCCAUGCUGACCGUCUCAGCCCGAGUUCAGCCAGGAGAGGGACAGCCCUCGUCACCGUGUGACAUGUUUACUUCUAGCCGAGGAAAAUACCGCCGCUGCGGCUGCCCUUCCCUGCGCAGGCACUGGCCUGGAGACGGAUAUUUUAUGUCUUCCUUUGAUGAUUUACAAAUAAAUUAGUGCGAUCGAGAAGGUCUGCCAGCAUCUAUGCGUACGGGAAACCCAAGACGGUGAAAAAUGAUCGUGAUUUACCGUAUCCCGAUACUUCCUUCUUAAGAACCAAAUAAAUAUCAUCGGCUAGUUUAUGGAGCUGACAUAUUUAUUGCAGAAUUCCCGCCGGAGGACUUCCCAUUGUCCUGUGUUCUCACACAUUGUUUUCACAAAUUGUGGCUUGAAGGAAGGCAGGGAAAUUCAGGCUGGAGAAGCAAGAUGUUAUCUUUUGGAAAGGAUGCGCCUCUCUAACGGGACAGGAUAAUCCAUUCAGAGGCUGGAAAGCCCAGUCCUCCGGGGGUGUGAUAAAUCCACAGGAUCUGGAAUCUGGGACUGCUUUGGGACCUUGAAGUUAGCUGGGACAACUUAGCCCCGGCCCAGACAAACAGUGUAUCCUUCUCGCCGGAUAAGCGCAGACAGCUGUGCACUCCGGUUUGCCCUGUUUUCCUUACAGGCGAUUGCAUUCACGGAGGCCGAUCUCCUCACGUCCAUCAGCAGUGGGCUAGGCGCCUGAUGCCAACCUGGGCCCGUGCGGCUCUGUGAUUGGAAAUCGGUUUCCAACAGGGACGGGGCUCCUGCUCCUUGCAGGUGGGACCUGUGCAUGGAGAGCGAGGCAGAGCAGGGUCACUCGUGACUACCAGAGGACCAUGCUGUCCUCAGAAGGUCAGAGUAGGACAGCUGGCAUCGCCGGUACAGAACUCACGUCUUGAGUGGGAUCCAAGCAGCUCCUCACCCUCCCCGCUCCUAACGCGCCUGGCACCCUCUGAAGCCACCCAGGUGCCCCUAUCUGUGCAAGCGCCUUUGGCCAGGCUGCAUCGGAAGCCUGCAGCAGUGGCAGCUUUGAGGGACAGGAGAGCAGCUCGCCCCAGCUCUCCUGUUGCUAGUUGCCCGAGUUUCCCCAAGAUCACACCCACACACCCGGCCGGAGCAACCCAGCCAGGCCUGGGGAGGGAGCCGUCUUUCUGGGACAGUGUCCAGUCGUUCCGUCGUUCGUUCCGUCCCAGCCAAGCACCUGCGCGGCCGAGCUGGUUCUCAGGUGUUCACAGACUGACUGUGGCUGCUGUCGGGCCUGUCCUUGGAAAACCCCACGUCCCCCGUUCUCUGUGCUGCUCCUGGAGCUGAAAGCCGCCUCACUGAGUCUGCGGACAGCCUGAUGGGCCCCAGGACCUGCGUGUGCUGUUCCGCCUCCUCGGUCAGCAGCGAGACGCCUGCAGGGGCCGUUCUUCUGGCUUGGGAGGGACUCGAGCCGCUGCCCAAACCUUCACAGCUGCAUUUAGCAGUCGAAGGAAGGUGAUGGGAAGCCACACAGAGCCCCUCAGCACCAAGCUUUGCUGCCUGUUUGGUGCUGGUGGAGUCAACUGCACGGGCCCAAGUGUCACUGAGCUGCAGACAGCUCGGACCUCUCCAGAGAGCCCGCCAGGACGGCAGGCAUGGAAAACAGGGCUUCUCCCACCUGGCUCCCACGGGCCGAGGCGGAGGGUGCCUACCCCAGUGUGUAGCCCCCCUCGGUUUAAUGUUUCUCUGUCCACAAACAAGAAUCGUUUUCUAAACCACUGCCUCAGCUUACUUUAAAAGGUCCCAGGACAAAAGUCCUAGGUGAGCCCAGACCCCAGUCUGAGGUGUGGACUGAGAAAAAUAUUGUACAAUCAAAACAGAACAAGUGCUGGGUGAGAAACAGCAAUGAUCUGACUGAGAAAGUUAGCCAGCGUUGUUAAAGAGACUGUUACAUACGACCUUUUUCUUUCCUGUGUUUUUUGGAGACAG